CUACGGGCCGCAGCAGUGGGGAAUAUUGCACAAUGGAGGAAACUCUGAUGCAGCAACGCCGCGUGGAGGAUGACACUUUUCGGAGCGUAAACUCCUUUUAUAUAGGAAGAAGAUGACGGUACUAUAUGAAUAAGCGCCGGCUAACUCCGUGCCAGCAGCCGCGGUAAUACGGAGGGCGCGAGCGUUACUCGGAAUCACUGGGCGUAAAGAGCGUGUAGGCGGAUUAAAAAGUCAGAAGUGAAAUCCUAUAGCUUAACUAUAGAACUGCUUCUGAAACUCUUAAUCUAGUAUAUGGGAGAGGUAGAUGGAAUUUCUGGUGUAGGGGUAAAAUCCGUAGAGAUCAGAAGGAAUACCGAUUGCGAAGGCGAUCUACUAGAACAUUAUUGACGCUGAGACGCGAAAGCGUGGGGAGCAAACAGGAUUAGAUACCCUAGUAGUC
rnacentral:rRNA from 1 species